UUCCCUUUAGCUCAGUUGGUAGAGCAUGGUGUUUGCAACGCCAGGGUUGUGGGUUCAAUUGCCACAGGGGACC
rfam:Salmo salar isolate Sally breed double haploid chromosome ssa25, whole genome shotgun sequence.